CCUACGGGUGGCAGCAGUGAGGAAUAUUGGUCAAUGGGCGAGAGCCUGAACCAGCCAAGUCGCGUGAGGGAGUACUGCCCUAUGGGUUGUAAACCUCUUUUGUCGGGGAGCAAAAGCCGGACGUGUCCGGCUGUGAGGGUACCCGAAGAAAAAGCAUCGGCUAACUCCGUGCCAGCAGCCGCGGUAAUACGGAGGAUGCGAGCGUUAUCCGGAUUUAUUGGGUUAAAUGGGUGCGCAGGCGGAUUUUUAAGUCAGCGGUAAAAUCGUGGGGCUCAACCCCAUCCAGCCGUUGAAACUGGGGAUCUAGAGUGUGCGAGAGGUAUGCGGAAUGCGUGGUGUAGCGGUGAAAUGCAUAGAUAUCACGCAGAACCCCGAUUGCGAAGGCAGCAUACCGGUGCACAACUGACGCUCAGGCACGAAAGCGUGGGUAUCGAACAGGAUUAGAUACCCCUGUAGUC
rnacentral:rRNA from 1 species